rnacentral:rRNA from 1 species
CCUACGGGAGGCAGCAGUGGGGGAUAUUGCACAAUGGGGGAAACCCUGAUGCAGCGACGCCGCGUGUGGGAAGACGGUCCUCUGGAUUGUAAACCACUGUCCCCAGGGACGAAGAUGACGGUACCUGGGGAGGAAGCUCCGCCUAACUACGUGCCAGCAGCCGCGGUAAUCCGUGGGGAGCACGCGUUGUCCGGAAUUACUGGGUGUAAGGGGAGCUUAAGCUGGGAGGCAAGUUGGGUGUCAAAACUACCGGCUAAACCGGUAGUCGCACUGAAAACUGCAGGGCUUGAGUGAAGUAGAGGCAGGCGGAAUUCCUAGUGUAGCGGUGAAAUGCGUAGAUAUUAGGAGGAACACCAGUGGCGAAGGCGGCCUGCUGGGCUUUUACUGACGCUGAGGCUCGAAAGUGUGGGGAGCAAACAGGAUUAGAUACCCCAGUAGUC